rnacentral:misc_RNA from 1 species
UGUACAGAAGCAUGUCAAACAAUUUCAUUUUGCACUGGCUUCUGUUUACUCAAACACUUGCAGUUGGCUCUGUUGUCACUGAGAGUCUUGUAUUGCUUUUGAAGAUCUUUGAUGUACACGCCAAAUCUAGCAUGUCUGCUGUGUUUGUUUGCUUGUCCAUGUUUGGGACAAGCUCCUGUAGUUUCCUCAUUCUUUCGCUAAUCCGGGUUCUUCUCACUCUUUCUGCAAUACUUCGAGGAUGAGUGGCACAACCACGCUUUGCCCUUAUU